CACGUACUGUUAGCGCUUUAUGAAUGUCAGUGUUUUUCUUGACGUACGACAAUUUUCUAACUAAAAAUCAAUAUAAUAGAAUAAAAAAAUGAUUUAAAUAUUUCGUGGACUAGUGAGUUGUGCAACAUGACGUCGCCCACGAGGUUAUUCUUAGAUAGGUGGAAAUGCCUGGAUGGUUAGCACAGUGCUUGACAUAGGAGUGCCGGAAACUUUGUUGGAUAAAAUAUUAUAAACGCAAAGAAAGACGGCUGUUUGGACUUCUUUUUUAACUGGUCAACCACUGAUUGGGGCGUCACUACACAGCCCGUACAGGGACCGUGUUGGGAGAUAACAGAACUGCGCAAUUUCGAAUAAGCGAGUAUAGGGGAUAUCAAAUAAAUCAACUUUCCACAAGGCGAUCGUUAGAAUAGGGCCGAACAUUUCCAGGAAACAGAUAAGAGAUUUGUGUUUAAGUAUUUGCAAUCUGCUAAGAAUGAAUAGUAGUACCUGGCGAAUGCGCAGUCGCAGGAAGAAGAGGUACCUGGCGGAUGGGCAUAGCAUUACUCAGUUCUUCAGCGGACUAAAACCUAUUUAGUCGACGGUGACGUCACCAAUGGAGAAAACACUAACUCAGAUCCUUCUCAAUGACCAUUUAAGUCAAAAGUUCCAGCACAGGUAUUGCAGAAAAUUUUAUAACCCUCAGUAUUUUUGAUUUUGCAAUAAAUAAUUUUCUGGUAAAAAAUUCAGAACUUGUAGAUCCUCACAACUAUAGGCAUCUAAUGCAGAUGACAUAGAGCUGCUAGCAAAGAGCGAAGAGGCUCUGAAGGAGAUCAUGAAAAGGUUGAGUAAAUAUUUGGACAAAAAUAGGUUAGAGUUAUAUACGGACAAAUCGAAGAUUAU